UGACUUCCUUAUUUCGGAAAUCUGUAAGAUGGCCUCUUGAGGUGACAAGGGAUCUCCUGGCCAUUCCAAGCCGUCUGUCUAACUGGACGCACGGGGUAUUACAAGAUGCCCGUCGCCAUGUCAGGGACAACGAACAGAGCUAUGUCUACACGUAUGAGCUUCUGAGCGUGUCUUUGCCCUUCCUCUAUAUGCUGCUAGAAAUGCUUACACAUAUGUACUACGAGGCUGGACCUUCUCUUCAGUCUAUAAUCCAGCAGGUGCAAGACACCUUAGGCCCCAAAAAUAUCUAGAAUCCCCAAAUUAGCUGUGCCUUCUGCAUUAUUAACACCUCUGCUGCCUUGAAGGAGAAUAAUGAAAUUUUUACUGUUAACAUUUUGCUGGCGUAGGGAAAGGUGCUAUAUUUUGGAAGUGAAGGAAAUAUUACAAAUUUGCACAAAGCAUCUAGUUUACAUUUCACAUACAUUGUGUUAUAGUUUUUCGCUGAUUUCCAAACAGUUAUAUAGAACUUUCAGCUUGAUUAUUAUUUUCCUAUUUUUUUAAAAAAAAUCUAUUUUGUAUUUUUCUUUCUUUCUUUUUAUUUUGAAUUCAACCUCAGAAUUCCAUACUUUGGUAAAAAUCCAUUAAUCUGGCUGCCAAAAGUCAGUAAUUUGGGUUGAGGGAAGACAUGACUUUCCUUUGCAUUUCAAUUCUAUUGUUUUCUAAAUUGCUAAAAAUUAAUUGAAGGUAAUAAUUUUCAAAAAGUCAAGCAUACUUAUUAAUUUCUAGGUUGUUCGCUAAACUGGAAAUUGUGGAGGAUUUACAAAGGAAUUGUAAAUAAAGUUUAUGUAAUAAGGCCAAAAUAACUGAAUUUGAGAAAAUUAACAGUUUAGCUAAUUUGGUCUAAAUUUUGCAAUUCCUUGAUCAUUUAUUGCAAUGCCCAGUUUGUAAAUUAAAACCAUAUACGGCAAUAUGUCAGAAUAUUUCACAAAAUCUAUUUUAAGAGAAGUCCAUUAUUUUCAAACAUUUUUUCAAGAAGGUAUAUAUAGCGUAAACUGAAGUCUUCUGCAAAGAUUUAGGCUAUAUAUAUAUGCCUAAAACAGCAAUUUAAAUAUUUCAAAAUGUUCCUAUAUGGUAGGAUUUUAGAGCAAAUCAAAUGUAUUGCUUUGUUCUUUGUUUUGGAUUAAACGGUGCCGUAGAAUUUUUGAGGUAAGAGCUAGUGACACGUUAAUCACUUUAAAUAAUAACGAUCCAUAUGUACGGUCCUUAAAUUUCAAUUUACUUACAAACUGUACCAAAUAUUUGUCGUGGCAUUUCUAAAUUUUGGCAGAAUCAAAAUUUUUAGGGAAAACUUGUUUUAUUUCCGACAUUCUAAUUUAGAUUGCUACCAAAGUUAAUUUUAUAUAACUUCUGGACAUUGGCCUGUUCUAUUUAAUUAUUAUAAAAUGAAAAGAUGUCACAAGUCCUGCUUAUGACGACAUCCAGUUAUGGCGUAGUAUGUUUUUUUUUUUUUUUUAUGGACUGUUUCUUGUAGAAUUUAAUUCCUAAACAUUUCACAGUCUCUGACUAAUGCACUGGUUAAUUGUGCCAGAUACUGCUUAAUUCAAUUACCUGCACAUGGUGUUAGAAAGUUACCUUUUUUUAAUUGUUUUGAUAUUGAUUCAGCAUGUAUUACUUGUUUUUGUGACUUUUAUAAUUUGUAUAAUUUUCUUGAUGAUUUUCUCGUUUUAUUAUUGUUAUAUUUUUUUUUAUUGAUGUUGUAUCCUGUCUGGUCUCUAUUAGAGAUUUGGGAAUAUUUUCCUCUUGUUUUGCACUGGAAUAAAAAAAACAUACAUUUAUUAAUGAUUUCCAUAUGACGACAAUGUAAAAAAAAACAGAGAAAUACAAAAUCUGUGCAUUUUACAGCAAAACUGGAGUGGAAUAAUCUCAGCUUUAUACUUGGAGGGGAUGAUUCAUGUUUGCUGAUAACAAGUUACCCUUAUGUACCCUAGUUUAGACACUGGGAAUCGUAUUUGUGUAUGUUAUACAUUCUGGAGAAAAUGAACCUUAUUCAAAAAUUAGUCCAGUUUCAAAAAUUCCAUCGUAUGUUCCCUUUUUCUGGCUUGCACAUUUUCCUAAAUAUUUCAGAAAACCCAAAUUGUAGAAUUUUUGUUUUCGCUUUCUGGCUCAGAAUUCAUUUCAAAUUUAAAAUAAUUUCAACAUCGGUUGCUAUGGUAAUAAGGUUCAUCUUUUUCCAUAUUCUAGAAUUCAAUUUUAAUGGAGAAUUUACUGAAUGGAUUUUUCUUAUUCUGAUCUUUUUUUGCAUUGAUCCAACUUUCUGUUUUGAUUUUUAUAUCUUUGAAAUAUUUCCACGUUUCCAACUAUUUUCAAAAUAUUUUAUUCUUAUUCUUUCUCUCUAUCUUUCCUUUGUUGCUUCUAGCGCAUUCCAAUACUCCAGUGCUCGGCCCUCUUGUUGGCUGAAGCAUUGCGUCUGUCAGACUCUCCCAAGUGGACAAUUUUUCCUUCAUCUCUCAUGUUUUGAGGGCGGUUCUUAAUUAGGAUCUUAAAAUUGCAUAUUUUGUGAAAUGAACUAAAUUCUUUUCUUUUUUAAUUCUGUAUUUCCAUCUGAUGUUCUGUAUCAGACACAACAGUGAUUUUUUUUUUUGUUGAAUUCAAUUGAUCUGUAAACGAGAAUAAAUAUAGUAGUUCCUAAA